GGGUUGUGAGGUUAAGCGACUAAGCGUACACGGUGGAUGCCCUGGCAGUCAGAGGCGAUGAAGGACGUGCUAAUCUGCGAAAAGCGUCGGUAAGGUGAUAUGAACCGUUAUAACCGGCGAUGUCCGAAUGGGGAAACCCAGUGCAAUUCGUUGCACUAUCGUUAACUGAAUACAUAGGUUAACGAGGCGAACCGGGGGAACUGAAACAUCUAAGUACCCCGAGGAAAAGAAAUCAACCGAGAUUCCCCAGUAGCGGCGAGCGAACGGGGAGCAGCCCAGAGUCUGAAUCAGCUUGUGUGUUAGUGGAACGGUCUGGAAAGUCCGACGGUACAGGGUGAUAGUCCCGUACACCAAAAUGCACAGGCUGUGAACUCGAAGAGUAGGGCGGGACACGUGGUAUCCUGUCUGAAUAUGGGGGGACCAUCCUCCAAGGCUAAAUACUCCUGACUGACCGAUAGUGAACCAGUACCGUGAGGGAAAGGCGAAAAGAACCCCGGCGAGGGGAGUGAAAAAGAACCUGAAACCGUGUACGUACAAGCAGUGGGAGCACCUUCGGGUGUGACUGCGUACCUUUUGUAUAAUGGGUCAGCGACUUAUAUUCUGUAGCAAGGUUAACCGUAUAGGGGAGCCGCAGGGAAACCGAGUCUUAACUGGGCGUUAAGUUGCAGGGUAUAGACCCGAAACCCGGUGAUCUAGCCAUGGGCAGGUUGAAGGUUGGGUAACACUAACUGGAGGACCGAACCGACUAAUGUUGAAAAAUUAGCGGAUGACUUGUGGCUGGGGGUGAAAGGCCAAUCAAACCGGGAGAUAGCUGGUUCUCCCCGAAAGCUAUUUAGGUAGCGCCUCGUGAACUCAUCUUCGGGGUAGAGCACUGUUUCGGCUAGGGGGUCAUCCCGACUUACCAACCCGAUGCAAACUACGAAUACCGAAGAAUGUUAUCACGGGAGACACACGGCGGGUGCUAACGUCCGUCGUGAAGAGGGAAACAACCCAGACCGCCAGCUAAGGUCCCAAAGUCAUGGUUAAGUGGGAAACGAUGUGGGAAGGCACAGACAGCCAGGAUGUUGGCUUAGAAGCAGCCAUCAUUUAAAGAAAGCGUAAUAGCUCACUGGUCGAGUCGGCCUGCGCGGAAGAUGUAACGGGGCUAAACCAUGCACCGAAGCUGCGGCAGCGACACUAUGUGUUGUUGGGUAGGGGAGCGUUCUGUAAGCCUGCGAAGGUGUGCUGUGAGGCAUGCUGGAGGUAUCAGAAGUGCGAAUGCUGACAUAAGUAACGAUAAAGCGGGUGAAAAGCCCGCUCGCCGGAAGACCAAGGGUUCCUGUCCAACGUUAAUCGGGGCAGGGUGAGUCGACCCCUAAGGCGAGGCCGAAAGGCGUAGUCGAUGGGAAACAGGUUAAUAUUCCUGUACUUGGUGUUACUGCGAAGGGGGACGGAGAAGGCUAUGUUAGCCGGGCGACGGUUGUCCCGGUUUAAGCAUGUAGGCUGAUUGUCCAGGCAAAUCCGGAUAAUCAAGGCUGAGGUGUGAUGACGAGGCACUACGGUGCUGAAGUAACAAAUGCCCUGCUUCCAGGAAAAGCCUCUAAGCAUCAGGUAACAUCAAAUCGUACCCCAAACCGACACAGGUGGUCAGGUAGAGAAUACCAAGGCGCUUGAGAGAACUCGGGUGAAGGAACUAGGCAAAAUGGUGCCGUAACUUCGGGAGAAGGCACGCUGGUGUGUAGGUGAAGUCCCUGCGGAUGGAGCUGAGACCAGUCGAAGAUACCAGCUGGCUGCAACUGUUUAUUAAAAACACAGCACUGUGCAAACACGAAAGUGGACGUAUACGGUGUGACGCCUGCCCGGUGCCGGAAGGUUAAUUGAUGGGGUUAUCCGUAAGGAGAAGCUCUUGAUCGAAGCCCCGGUAAACGGCGGCCGUAACUAUAACGGUCCUAAGGUAGCGAAAUUCCUUGUCGGGUAAGUUCCGACCUGCACGAAUGGCGUAAUGAUGGCCAGGCUGUCUCCACCCGAGACUCAGUGAAAUUGAACUCGCUGUGAAGAUGCAGUGUACCCGCGGCAAGACGGAAAGACCCCGUGAACCUUUACUAUAGCUUGACACUGAACAUUGAGCCUUGAUGUGUAGGAUAGGUGGGAGGCUUUGAAGCGUGGACGCCAGUCUGCGUGGAGCCAACCUUGAAAUACCACCCUUUAAUGUUUGAUGUUCUAACGUUGGCCCCUGACCGGGGUUGCGGACAGUGUCUGGUGGGUAGUUUGACUGGGGCGGUCUCCUCCCAAAGCGUAACGGAGGAGCACGAAGGUUAGCUAAUCCUGGUCGGACAUCAGGAGGUUAGUGCAAUGGCAUAAGCUAGCUUGACUGCGAGCGUGACGGCGCGAGCAGGUGCGAAAGCAGGUCAUAGUGAUCCGGUGGUUCUGAAUGGAAGGGCCAUCGCUCAACGGAUAAAAGGUACUCCGGGGAUAACAGGCUGAUACCGCCCAAGAGUUCAUAUCGACGGCGGUGUUUGGCACCUCGAUGUCGGCUCAUCACAUCCUGGGGCUGAAGUAGGUCCCAAGGGUAUGGCUGUUCGCCAUUUAAAGUGGUACGCGAGCUGGGUUUAGAACGUCGUGAGACAGUUCGGUCCCUAUCUGCCGUGGGCGCUGGAGAAUUGAGGGGGGCUGCUCCUAGUACGAGAGGACCGGAGUGGACGCAUCACUGGUGUUCGGGUUGUCAUGCCAAUGGCACUGCCCGGUAGCUAAAUGCGGAAGAGAUAAGUGCUGAAAGCAUCUAAGCACGAAACUUGCCCCGAGAUGAGUUCUCCCUGAGACUUUAAGUCUCCUGAAGGAACGUUAAAGACGAUGACGUUGAUAGGCCGGGUGUGUAAGCGCAGCGAUGCGUUGAGCUAACCGGUACUAAUGAACCGUGAGGCUUAACCUUACAACGCCGAAG
rnacentral:rRNA from 1 species